AACGAACGCUGGCGGCAUGCCUAACACAUGCAAGUCGAACGAGACCUUCGGGCCUAGGGGCGCACGGCUGCGUGCCGAGUGGGAACCUGCACUUAGGUUCGGUAUCCCUCCCCGUAAGGUGUGCUAAUACCGGUUAAUCUCAUCGGACCUACGAUUUCUCGCCAUUGGAUGGGCCCGCGUUGGAUUCGCUAGUUGGUAGGGUAAUAGCCUACCAAUGCGUCGUUCCAUGGCUGGUCUGUGAGGAUGAUCAGCCACACUUGGACUGAGACACGGCCCAGACUCGUACGCAGGGCAGCAGUAGGGAAUAUAGGACGAUGGGCGAUAGCCUGAUACAGCAGUGCCGCGGGAGUGAUGAAGGCCUUAGGAUUGUAAAUCCCUUUUACACGGGAUGAUAAUGACGGUAACGGGUAAAGAAGCUCCGGCUAACUCCGUG
rnacentral:rRNA from 1 species